rnacentral:rRNA from 1 species
CCCUUAGAUGUUCUGGGCCGCACGCGCGCUACACUGAUGAAUUCAACGAGCUCCUAACCUAGGCCGAAGGGUCCGGGUAAUCUUUGAAAUUUCAUCGUGAUGGGGAUAGAUUAUUGCAAUUAUUAAUCUUCAACGAGGAAUUCCUAGUAGGCGCGAGUCAUCAGCUCGCGUUGAUUACGUCCCUGCCCUUUGUACACACCGCCCGUCGCUCCUACCGAUUGAAUGGUCCGGUGAAAUGUUCGGACCGCGACAAGGCGGACGGUUCGCUGUCAGCUUUGCUGCGGGAAGUUCAUUAAACCUUAUCAUUUAGAGGAAGGAGAANUCGUANCA